GGAAUUAGGUUUCGUCUUCCUCUUGCACCUGCGAUCUGAACGAUGAAAUUCCAAAGACUUCAUGCGCAGUUUCGAUCUCCGUAACGUUUCAACCAUCGAUAAAUAUGUUCUUUAAUGGUGACAAUAAAAUCUCCCCACUUUGUGCUCUUAGUUAAGUUUCCGUUGAUUCUGAAUCAACCAUAGACACUAUAUAUCUAGAUCGUCCAUAACCCAAAGCUACAUCUCAUGGUCAUGGCUUCUUCAAAAUCUUAGAUUACUCAAUAUCUCAAAUAUAUGUUUCCAAAUUGGAGAUAUCUCAAGUCCUCCUUUCAGAGUUGCCCGCGAUGGCAACUAUCCAAAUUGACAGUGUGUUUGAUUGCGUCAAAAGUCAGACUCGAUGAAAAAAUUAUUGAUAACGGGUGUGAAGCCAAAAGUCAUCAUUGCAAGUUUGCAACUUACACUAAUCCUAAAUUAGUU